rnacentral:lncRNA from 1 species
GCAAGGACCACUGGUGUUGAUGAGUCAAACCGAUGAAAUACAUACAUGUUAUAAUAUGGCAAUAAGUUUAUGGAAAUUUGGUUUAAUCUAGAAAAAAAUCAUAUAACCAUAGAUCUCGUCCAAAAUAGAAACUGACUCGAGGAGUGAUUGGGCGGUCUAGUUGAUCUCGUUGAUUGCGGGUGAACAAGAGUCGGGGUCUGGAUGAACUCGGGAGCAUCUUGUUUCGUCUAGCUAGUGCUCGUCGGUUGCAGCUUGACAGACUUUGGCUGGAAACAUCGCUAUGGUGAAUGGAGACUUGUGGCGAGCGGCCUUGGAGAGAGGGGAGCUAACAACGAAAGUGUUGGUGGUGAUAUCGACGGCUAGGAGGCAGUGAGGAGGGAGGUCACACAGUGAAGGUGAGUAGAUUGAGCAUGGAGGGACAAAUGGAACCAUAAGAGUGUGUGUGGAGAUUGACGAGGUUGACCUAACCUUGUCCAUGGAAGUGACAAUGAUAGGUGCACUAUAGCGAGGGAAAGGAUUAGUGAAAGGUCAGGGUGUCUGUGGCAUGGUGAUGUUGGGUUUGUGCCGAAAGCGGCGCACCCGAUGUUACUCUUAUAGGUAACGUGGGACAAAUGGAACCAUAAGAGUAGUAUACUAGUAGUAUUCAAUAUUUCGCCGUAGUUGUAGCUAUAGUUGUAGUGAAAAUCUUAAAAUAGGUUUCAUAUAAGUGGGAAAAAAAUCUAUACAAAAGGCAAUUUCAGGUUUGAAAAGUAUAAAAAAAUAAUUAAGUAUCUAAAAAAAGCCUAAUAAACAAAAAUUAAAAUGCCCAGCUUGGACUUCGAGCCC